UAAUAUCUAUAAUUCCUAACAGGUUCCUGUCUAUGAUCUUCUUGCCCUACAUCUACUCCAACAUUGUGCCUAUUACCAUAAUUCCCUCCAAGUGCGACAAUUUGAUUUAAAGACUUUAAUACUUAAGGCAAGGUACAAAGAGUGUUGAAGAUUACUUUAAGGAAAUGAAGAUGUUGAUGACUAGGCUAGAUUUAGUGGAGGAUAGAGAAGUCAUAAUGGCAUGUUCCCUUAGAGGAUUAAACAAAGAAAUUAUUGAUAGGGUUGAGUUACAACAUUAUGUGAAGAUUGAUGAGAUGAUGCACAUUGCCAUCAAAGUGAAAAAAUAACUCAAAUUGAAAUUACCAGUAAAGAAUGACUUCAAGGGCAAUUCUAGUUUUGAACUAAAUUGGAACAACUCUUGGAAAAGAGGUAAAUAAGAUGAUAACAAAUCUGUUUUGCAGGAUAACAAAGUAAAAGGGAGUUCGGACACCAAAGUACAAAUUAAACCUGAAUGGAACAAAAGCAGAAGUAGAGACAUUAAGUACUUUAAGUGUUUGUGAAAUGGACAUAUUUUCUUCCUAAUGUCCAAACAAGCGAGCUAUGAUGGUUAGAGAGUAUGGCGAGAUUGAAUCCAAAAGUGAGGAUAGUGACAAUGAAGAUAACAAAAAUCCACAAUUAGGAGAUUGCAGUGAUGAUGGUGUUGAAGAGCCAAUAAGGGGUGAUCUUUUGGUUGUUAGGUGUACACUCAAUGCACAAAUGAAGGAUAAUGAUAUGUAACAGUAAAUGGAUAAUAUUUUCCAUACUAAGUGCCAUGUACAAGGAGUUUGAUGAUUUUUUCCUGAAGAUAUGCCAAUCAAUUUACCACUAGAAAAGGGUAUAGAACAUAAAAUCAACUUCGUGCCAGGGACUGCCACACUAAAUAGACCAGCCUAUCGAAGCAAUCUCAAAAAAAUAAAGGAUUUUCAAUGACAAGUGGAUGAGCUAAUAAUAAAAGGGUAUAUGCGUGAGAGCUUGAGUCCUUGUGCAGUUCCAGUAAUUUUAGUUCCAAAAAGGGAUGGCACGUGGAGAAUGUGUGUCGACUAUCGUGCAAUUAGCAAAAUAACGGUAAAGUAUCGUCAUCCUAUCCUAAGAUUAAAUGAUAUGCUUGAUGAGCUACAUAGUGCAUGUCUUUUUACUAAGAUAAAUCACAUUAUCAGAUUCACAUGAAAACUAGGGAUGAGUGAGAAACAGCUUUCAACACCAAAUAUAGUCUAUAUGAGUGGUUAGUUAUAUCAUUUAGGUUAACAAAUGCAUCUAAUACAUUCAUGAGAUUAAUGAAUCAUGUGUUGCAUGAAUUUCUUGGCAAAUUUGUAGUUGUAUAUUUUGAUGACAUCUUAAUUUAUUCUAAGAAUCUUGAUGAUCAUAUUUUUCAUGUUAGAUGUGUCUUAGAUGUUCUUAAGAAGGAGAGGCUAUUUGCCAAUCUUAAAAAGUGUGGUCUUUGUUUAGAUCGAGUCAUUUUUAUUAGUUUUGUAAUUAGUUCUAAUGGUUUAAAGGUUGAUGAAGAAAAGGUUAAAGUUAUCCAAGAAUAGCCGACACCUCAUAACAUUAGCCAAGUUAGAAGUUUCCAUGGUUUGGCUAGCUUUUAUUGGCGGUUCAUUAGGGACUUUAGUAGCUUAGCCGCACCAUUAAAUGAGAUAGUUAAAAAAAAUAUUGGGUUUCAUUAGGGUGAUGCACAAGAAUAUGCAUUUAAUUUACUUAAAGAUAAAUUGUGUAAUGCAUCUUUAUUGAUUUUACCUAACUUUGAUAAGAUCUUUGAGAUUGAGUGGGAUGCUAGUGGCACUGAAGUUGGGGCUGUUUUGAUGUGAGAGGGAAGACCCAUAUGUUACUUUAGUGAAAAAUUGAAUGGGGCAGCAUUAAGGUACCUAAUAUAUGAUAAGGAGCUAUAUGCAUUGGUUAGUGUAUUGCAAACUUGGCAACAUUAUUUAUGGCCCAAAGAGUUUGUAAUGCACAUAGAUCAUGAAUCUUUGAAGCAUCCUAAAGGGCAAGACAAGCUAAAUUGAAGGCAUGCAAAGUGGAUGGAAUUCAUUGAGACCUUUCCAUAUGUGAUCAAGCACAAGAAAAGUAUUUCCAAGGUAGAUUUAGUGAAGAAGAUGCACAAAUAAGUGAAAGAUAGGAUUGAGAAGCAAAAUGAAAGGAUAGCCGAAAGGGUAAACAAAGGAAGAAAGAAAGUUUUGUUAAAGCCUGAUGAUUGGGUUUGGGUCCAUUUUCGAAAAGAAAGGUAUCCAAACUAAAGAAAGUCAAAAUUGAGUCCAAGAGGUACUAGCCCUUUCAAGUUCUUGAGAAGAUGAAUGAUAAUGCAUACAAGGUAGACUUAUAAGAAGGAGGGAAUGAUACAGACGGGCUAGCAUAAGAAAAGCUUGAAGAUGAUGGGCUUGAGGAGGAGUACGCAAGGAAAGCUAAUGAUGCUAAAGAUGGCCUAAACUUGGCACAAGGCCCAACAACAAGGAUUAGAGCCAAGAAGUUGCAACAAGCCUUAAAUGGCUAUACAUAAAAUUGGGCUAGCAAAAAGAGUCCAUUUGAAGGCCCAAGAUCCACAACUAUUAAGGAGCAUCAAGAUUGGGAUUUAU